AGAGGAAAGCCGAGGUGAAGAUGAGGAAGGAGUGCUGCCACUUCAGGUCCACCAUGGUGGUGAAGACGUCCUGCAGGAAGCGACCCUGAGACACACAGACGGAUUCUCAUUUUCUACAACUGGAUAAGGGAACAUGAGACGUCAUUUUCUCACAUGGAUUGACCUCCACAGAGUCCAGACCUCAGCCCCACUGAGAAUCUUUGGGAUGUUCUGGAGAAGACUUUGUCCGACUCUCCCAUCAUCAAUAUAAGAUCUUGAUGAAAAAUUAAUCCAACUCUGGACAGAAAACCAACACUGUAACAUUGCAGAAGCUUAUCAAAACGAUGCCACAGUGAAUGAAUGUUGUUCUCAGAGCUAAAGGUGGUCCGACAAAAUAUUAGCGUGUGUAGAGUUUUUUUUUUUUUGGAUGGGUAAAACUUUAAUUUGAAUGUUGUGGAAAAUUCUGAGCAUCAAACUGUUCAUUUUCUGCUUUUUGGUAAAUCUUUAUGCACCAAUUUGUUGUGUUUUUUGCAUCAAUUUAUGGUAAAAUUGUGUAUUUCUGUGAAGAAAAAGACUAAAUCCAGGCAAAAGUUGACAGAUUCUAGCAUUAGAUGAUCGAACUGAACCAAACA